rnacentral:lncRNA from 1 species
CUUGAUUAGCCUAAAACCUCUUCCUGAGGUUAGGUGUAUUGGGGUUUGGUGCAGUAAGAACUGAACCCCUAUUUAUUCUACAACCAUGUCUAGUUACUGUCUACCAAUGUGUUACAUGUGAUUAGUUUGUUUUGCUUAUUUGUUCCCUUCCCCUUGUCCUUGGUCAUGUGAUGCUCUGUUGGUUUCAAAACUGGUCAGUCUACAUCUUUUUCAGAAGGAUUUUUGCAACUCUUCCAACUGUUUUCUUAAACUCUCUUUAACCUUCUCUUAAACUACUUUCUCAAACUGUUUCUCAACUCUUUUUCUUAAUCUGACUCUCAAUUGUUUUAAUGUCAUGUCCCAACUUCACUACUCUUAAAACCCUAGGUCCUGCCUCCUUGGUGGAAGCACUGCCAUGG